rfam:Anncaliia algerae PRA339 unplaced genomic scaffold supercont2.7, whole genome shotgun sequence.
GCCCCGUUAGCUCAGUCGGUAGAGCAUCAGGCUUUUAACCUGAGGGCCGUGGGUUCAAGUCCCACAUGGGGCG